UGCUAAGGGGAGAGGCUUUGGUUACCUCAGCGCGGCCGCAGUUCCGGUCUCCGAGCCCCUGUAGCUCAGUGUUCGUUCGCGGGGGCUGGUGGGAUCGGAAACCCGUGCUAGACUGAAAACACGCGCCUCUAAGGCUGAGAGGAGUUUAGUGCGGCUGCGCAGGAGCGCCGGCGCGCGCGACUCUCACUGUGGCGUAGCGGGUUUAAGGAGGCGGCUCGCUGGGGUGAGGCGUUUAGGGUGAGGUAACAGAGACCUUGGAGCCAGAUUUACUGGGUUUGUACCCCAGCCCCAACAGUUAAGCGCUCUAUGGCUUUGGGCAACUCAGGUAGCAUGAAUCUCAUCAGCACAGAGAAAAAGCUUCACUGAAAACUCAUUGCAGGUCACACCCCCUCAACUCAGAUGGCAACAGUGCAGUCAGAGGCCUGCCCUUCUAAGCCUCAGACCCAGGCAGCAGUGCGAACUGAAGGUUAAAACACAGAUGCCACUAACCUGCACACCAAAUGGCACGAGUCAGUGACACCAGCUCCGAGACCUGUUUUGAGCCCAGGCAAUGGUCCAAGUCACAAGUAGGUCACCUUGCUUGAUCUAACAACAGAUCAACCUCAGAAAGAGGCAUUUUUGAAAGAAUUUCACCCACUGAAAAAACAGCUGGCUAGUCCGUUUCUUUUCCCACUAAUAAAUGAGACGCAUUUAUUAUUUUAUUACACUUACCCAACCCAUAGACCACCUUCUAAACUGGCUGUUUCCUGAAAGUUGCCAGUGAAUUCGAAGGCCUGCUUCUCCCACUUUCAUGUGUGGAGGAUAAUCGUGAUUUCGACAAUAACUUGCCAUCUUUCUCUGAAUGUUCAUUCAACAAAUAAUUACUGUGCAUCCACUGAGUGCUAUCCCUGCCUGAGGCACUGAGGUAAGAAGUCUCUGUCCUCCUGGAGCUUUGCUGUCUUGUAGGAGACAGAGGGGACAAAUAAACACAUAGAUACGAUAUCAGGUGGUAUAUGUUCUGUGAGGAAGCAAAGAAGUGGGGUAAAGGACUAAAGAGUGGUGUAGCAGACGAGCUCGGUGCCUUGCCAGCAUCCCCGCGGCAUUCACCUGGGCACGCCGAGGCUGUUUCCCGUGAGCCCCUGAGGCCCUCUGCCUGGGGGCAGUUAUUUUCCUGGCCAUGGGAGAAUGCUUGGCCCACAAGCAGGGUAAGCAAGAGGUAUUAGAGAACGUCUUUCUCACUUUCCUCAUCUCAUAGUUACGAUAUCUCCUUUAAUCCUUUCUUUCACUAUUUCCUCCAAUUGGUUCACUUCUCAUUUCUCUGGUGGCUGUUUUUCUGAGAGUUCUGCCAUUUAAAUAAAAUGCGUCUACCACUGAUUGGGGCAGGGAAGCUGGACUGUCCACAGCCCUGCUUAGGGAGGCAGCCUCCAGGGGAAAAGCAGCAGGCUCCCUGCAGUGGUGCCCCCCUCCCUCAAAUUUUUUUAAAAGACGGGAGACAGAUCAUUUUCCCCUGCUCCAUCGCCAUCAUCAUUGUCAAGGACACCUUCUCCUGAGAACCCAUUAUGUGCUGAACUUCGGGCCAUUUGUUCGACCUUUAUCAUCUCUGACCCUCACACCAACUCUGAAAACCAAACAGUAACUAUAGCCCAGCCCAGGGAGGCAACCUUCCCUCCUACGGCAGACGAGGCGCUCCCCUCAUGCCUCUGGCUACACGGGACACACCGCAGCAGCGAUUCCCGUGGCCACAGUGCCCUCACCAUGCAUUCUGGGCCCUGCCAAGGCAGCUACUUUGAUCCUGAAUAGGAGACUCCAGAUCACAGGGGAUGUGGAGUUCUUUUUAGGCAGCUGGCAUGAGCUCAGCACAGAUGCCUCCCAGAGCAGAACUGCUUUGCUGCCUCCUGGGAGGUUCAUCAUCAAAACUUCCUGCCCUGACCCACAUUGUGACUCUCUCCAUUUGUGCUUCUGGCUGGAGCUACCAGAUUGGCAUAAUCCACGUCCAACAACCCACACCAUCGGUGAUCCCACUCCCACGUCUUUUCUCACACCACUGUUUCCUCAGAACUC